UAAAACGUCGUGAGACAGUUUGGUCCUUAUCUGUUGCGGGCGCAGGAUAUUUGAGGAGAUCUUUCCCUAGUACGAGAGGACCGGGAUGGACGAACCAAUGGUGUACCAGUUGUUCUGCCAAGGGCAUUGCUGGGUAGCUACGUUCGGCAGGGAUAACCGCUGAAAGCAUCUAAGCGGGAAACCCACUCCAAGAUAAGAUAUCCCGUACCGUUAGGUACCUGAAGGCUCGUUGGAGACUACAACGUUGAUAGGUCGGGUGUGGAAGUGCAGUAAUGCAUGGAGCUAACCGAUACUAAUGAGCCGUGCGGCUUAACCAU
rnacentral:rRNA from 1 species